rnacentral:rRNA from 1 species
UAAGUAAGCUUUGAUCCAGAGAUUUCCGAAUGGGGAAACCCAGCAUGAGUUAUGUCAUGUUAUCGAUAUGUGAAUACAUAGCAUAUCAGAAGGCACACCCGGAGAACUGAAACAUCUUAGUACCCGGAGGAAGAGAAAGAAAAUUCGAUUCCCUUAGUAGCGGCGAGCGAAACGGGAAGAGCCCAAACCAACAAGCUUGCUUGUUGGGGUUGUAGGACACUCUAUACGGAGUUACAAAGGACGACAUUAGACGAAUCAUCUGGAAAGAUGAAUCAAAGAAGGUAAUAAUCCUGUAGUCGAAAAUGUUGUCUCUCUUGAGUGGAUCCUGAGUACGACGGAGCACGUGAAAUUCCGUCGGAAUCUGGGAGGACCAUCUCCUAAGGCUAAAUACUCUCUAGUGACCGAUAGUGAACCAGUACCGUGAGGGAAAGGUGAAAAGCACCCCGGAAGGGGAGUGAAAUAGAACCUGAAACCGUGUGCUUACAAGUAGUCAGAGCCCGUUAAUGGGUGAUGGCGUGCCUUUUGUAGAAUGAACCGGCGAGUUACGAUUUGAUGCAAGGUUAAGCAGUAAAUGUGGAGCCGUAGCGAAAGCGAGUCU